rnacentral:rRNA from 1 species
UGGGGAAUUUUGCGCAAUGGGCGAAAGCCUGACGCAGCGACGCCGCGUGUACGAUGAAGGCCUUUGGGUCGUAAAGUACUGUCAACAGGGCCGAAAAUUCGCUGGAAUAAUACCCGGCGGGUCUGACGGUACCUGUAAAGGAAGCACCGGCUAACUCUGUGCCAGCAGCCGCGGUAAUACAGAGGGUGCAAACGUUGCUCGGAAUUACUGGGCGUAAAGCGCGUGUAGGCGGUUUCUUAAGUCGACUGUGAAAGCCCACGGCUCAACCGUGGAAGUGCAGUCGAAACUGGGUAACUGGAGUCCCGGAGAGGGUGGCGGAAUUCCCAGUGUAGAGGUGAAAUUCGUAGAUAUUGGGAGGAACACCGGUGGCGAAGGCGGCCACCUGGACGGGCACUGACGCUGAGACGCGAAAGCGUGGGGAGCAAACAGGAUUAGAUACCCCCGUAGUCC